UAGCCGGUAUCCAUGCAGCAACAACAAGAGAUUAUAGUUAGCAUGUUUUCAUUUUCUGUGCACUUAAAUAAUUCACCUGCAUCGCGGGAAUUUUCUUCCCAUACAAGCGGCGAAUUGAUGAACAACUAAUUGCUCACUUCCCGUCAAAGAUUAUUAAAAUUUAGGUACGAUAAAACAUGUAUUAUAUCAUACGUCAUCAGUGGUAAAACAUUACCACUUGAUACCGCAUACAAAGACACAAGCUGCAAUCGACAUUCGCAAUUUUACAAUACGCUUAUAAAACGUGCAAGCGAAAUUUUAUCAUGACAUAGGAAGUAAGUAAUGUAAGUAUUUAUUACUUCCAAAUCUUAUUGUUGUAAAAGGUCGCGCUCUUUAAAGCCAAUUAUUGCUU